rnacentral:rRNA from 1 species
UACGUAGGGGGCAAGCGUUGUCCGGAAUCAUUGGGCGUAAAGCGCGCGUAGGCGGCCCGGUAAGUCCGCUCUGAAAGUCCAGGGCUCAACCCUGGAAAGCGGGUGGAUACUGCCGGGCUAGAAUCCGGAAGAGGCGAGUGGAAUUCCUGGUGUAGCGGUGGAAUGCGCAGAUAUCAGGAGGAACACCGGUGGCGAAGGCGGGUCUCUGGGCAACAACUGACGCUGAGGAGCGAAAGCGUGGGGAGCGAACAGG